AGCUUUGCGCAGUGGCAGUAUCGUAGCCAAUGAGGUUUAUCCGAGGCGCGAUUAUUGCUAAUUGAAAACUUUUCCCAGAUAUCCUCUGUCAUCUUUCUUUACCAUUGACUUUGGUAUUUGCACUGACAGCUCAACUCCAAUACUGUGAG
rfam:Erinaceus europaeus unplaced genomic scaffold scaffold00419, whole genome shotgun sequence